GGGAAGGGCAGCUGCACCAAGCUUCAGUUGCCCUCCAGCUCUGGUUUUGACUCUUCUCCACUCCUAGGCUCAAUGAAAUUCAUGACAAUUUCCUUGUGGACUCAACCCAUGGUCACAACAUGGCUGGAGUGACUUCCACGGAGAGACACCUUAAAUGUUUGGCAGCCCACACUAAUCCCAUCACUUCUUUGGGGAAGUGCUCUUUGAGCAGAGCAUGG
rnacentral:lncRNA from 12 species